rfam:Thiorhodococcus drewsii AZ1 ctg209, whole genome shotgun sequence.
CGAGCCGCGAGGCGAGGUCUGAAGGAAGCCUGGAGCAAAUCUGCGAGCCUACGAACAGAAACGUCAUAGAAGGCCGAGCCCGGGGGCGAGCUAGCCACAGAUAGCGAAGCCCGGUGAUCCGACGUGGGUACGGUAAAUGGCGAGGUUGUGCAGAGAAAGUUCAUGUC